rnacentral:rRNA from 1 species
GAUGAACGCUGGCGGCGUGCCUAAUACAUGCAAGUCGAGCGAACAGACGAGGAGCUUGCUCCUCUGACGUUAGCGGCGGACGGGUGAGUAACACGUGGAUAACCUACCUAUAAGACUGGGAUAACUUCGGGAAACCGGAGCUAAUACCGGAUAAUAUGUUGAAUCGCAUGGCUCAACAGUGAAAGACGGUCUUGCUGUCACUUAUAGAUGGAUCCGCGCCGCAUUAGCUAGUUGGUAAGGUAACGGCUUACCAAGGCAACGAUGCGUAGCCGACCUGAGAGGGUGAUCGGCCACACUGGAACUGAGACACGGUCCAGACUCCUACGGGAGGCAGCAGUAGGGAAUCUUCCGCAAUGGGCGAAAGCCUGACGGAGCAACGCCGCGUGAGUGAAGAAGGUCUUCGGAUCGUAAAACUCUGUUAUUAGGGAAGAACAAAUGUGUAAGUAACUAUGCACGUCUUGACGGUACCUAAUCAGAAAGCCACGGCUAACUACGUG